ensembl:processed_transcript A230072C01Rik RIKEN cDNA A230072C01 gene
GAGUGAAUCCUUGGAGGUAGCAGGAUCCUAUGGAUCUAGAUGGGCCUGGCACGCCGCGGUCUGCCAGCAGGCGGAUCGUCGCGAGCUGGCGGGAGACUGGUUUGGGUGACGUUCAAUGAGAUUUGGCGGGUUCUGAGGGAGGGUGGACUUACAGGAAGGUAGGGAGAGGGAGUUAAGUGUUUAUAAUUAGUAAUUUGAAGUGUGUGUGUGUGUGUGUGUGUGUGUGUGCGCGUGUGCGCGCGCGCGCGUUGGUACUGAACUUAUAGGCAGUUGUGAGCUACCAUGAUGUGGGUGCUGAUAAUGGAGUUACAUUCUCUGCAAGUUUUAUGUGUUUUUAACUGAUGAGCCAUUUCUGUAUUCCCCCCUCCUUACUCUUAAAUUUGUUUUCCUAUUUGAUGUGUUUUGUCUGCAUGUUUAUGGACUACAUGCGUGCAUUGCCCACAAAGGCCAGAAGUAGUUGUGGGAUUCCCUGGAACUGGAGCAACCAACAGUUUGUGUGCACCAUGUGGGUAAUGGGAAUCGAACCUGGGUCCUCUAUAAGACUGGCCAGUGCUCUUAACUACUGAGGUGCAUUUCUUUCGGAAUUGAUUCACAUAACUAUUAUGCUAUACUGUUUGAAGUAUUUAUUAGAAAAACAUCAGAAAGAGAUUUGGACCACUUUCAUUUACAUGAAGAAAUAUCUUAGGGGUAUCUUUGAGUAUCUUCUGACACUAGAAGAUCCUGUAAACUCUACAGACUUCAACAGAAUUGAAGAACCUGGACAGAGCAGAGUUACCAACAAGAGAGCCCAGGGAUAACAUUAACAUGGUGGUUACUCAAGACCUAACUCAGCCAGGGAGACAUACCAAGGCCUAUGAGGUGAAGGGAAAAGAAGGGUGACCCAAAGGGCAGGAAUUUUUUAUCCUGAACUUUUGAGCCUUAUAGAAAAACAUAAUUUGUUGGGCAUGUUUUCUGACCCUCAUACAGUUUUUACAACCAUUUGAAGAUAUAGUUCUAGCUCUAGUAGGCUCUACAGGAAGGUAUAUCAAAAUUUUUAACAGAACACUUUAUUAUUUUAAAUAUAUGAGUAUUUCACCUGCAUAGGCGCACAGUGCCCACAGAGACUAGAAGAGGGUGGCAGGUCUCCUGAGACUGGAGUUAAUGCUUGUGAGCUGCCAUGUGGAUGCUGGAAAUCAAACCCAGGUCCUUUGGAAGGCAGGCAGGUGCUCUUAAUCAUGGAAGCAUCUCAGCUCCUACCCUAGUUCUUUAAUUUUGUUUUAAAUUUUUGAGGUAGGGUUUUGCUAAGUUACUUGGGCUGGCCUUGGACUAGUAACCAUUCUGUGUCAGCCUUCUGGGAUUAGAGAUACGUGCUAGCAUGUCUAGCAUCUUUCUAUUUCUUUGGUUUUCCUUCUAAUUAAUUAAAAAAUACAUUAUCUUCUAAAUCUUUUAUUGU